CUAUUUUGAAGAUUGGCUUUUCAAACACGAGGAACACGGGAGGACUAGUGCUGUAGCAUGCCUGGGUAUGAUUUCGAUUUCACUCUGGGAUGUUGACUCUGGUCUGGCACAACUUCGCAAGUGCUUUCCCAUGAAAGAUGUGUAUGGCAUGAAAUAAAUAAAUGAUUUUUUUGGUGGAUAUGCAGUAUAAAAGUCUCUUAGAACCUGAAUGUUUAUCAUCAUUGACACUUUCGGCGCUUUCCGAACUGCCCAACAAGUGGUAUUAGAGUCAUGGUUAGACUCGUCAAAACCACGGGCGUGGUAUUUUGGCCAUGGAUGAAUCCAAUGCUACAUGUGGAAAGCGGUUGGAUUCAAUUGGACUAGAGAACACCGAAGCUAACCGUCAAGCAUGACGUAAAAUUAUAUAUGAAG